GAAUAUAAUCGACGACAUAUUUAAAUAUUUGCUUUUUGAUUGAGUAAGCACCUUGUUGCCAACCCUAUACUCUUAUAUUUGCAUUAAAUUUUAGAAAAUUAUUUGGAAUAAAUUCUGUUUACAUUAUUAAAAAAAACAUUGCCAAUAAAAGUCAACUUGAGUGUGAAUUAUAAUUAUAGAUACAGUUUCUGAAGUUGCCAAAUUAUGUUCUUCACAGAUCCAUUAACAUUUCCCCACUUGUCUGUUGGCUGAUGUAGAUCCAGUGCCGUGAGGACUUUUGGCUACUCCGUUGAGUCUCUGCAGGUUGGCUGAUAUGUAUCAAGUUAAUUGCCGGCUAAUUCUGUAAUAGAUGUAUCCCAGGUCGCUCACUCUGACCUCAGCAGCUCUUCUAUGAAGUUGGAGCCAGUUCUCGGAAAGAAACACUGUCCGGGACAUGGAUGGAGCUGGAGGCUAUUAUCCUUGGGAAACUAACACAAGAACAGAUACAUGGAAGCUACCUGAGUGUGAAAGGAAGAAAAUAGUAGUCUACAAUGAAAUUCAAAAGGUGAGUAUCACAUGGUUUGCUUUAUUAGAGGUAGUUUGUUCAGCUUCUUGCUUGUCAGAAAUAAGUAUUUUGAGGUAAAUGAGAUGAGAACCUGGAAAAGGAGAUGCUAAACUAGGUAAUAGACAUAGAGAGUGUUUCUUUGAAAAUAAAGAAAGCAUGAGGUAGUUUGGAUGACA
rnacentral:lncRNA from 13 species